AGAAAGUGAGAAGGUAUAAUAGGGGGCAGUAGGCGCGUGAAAGACGGAAAUUUCGGUGUACGUUACCUCCGCGGGACAGAGAUAUGGAAAUGGCUAAUAAACAGCCUAAGAGGAAAUGGCCAGAGAAAUAUUAUUAUUAUUAUUAUUAUUAUUUUAAACAGGCUUAUAUCAGGACAGGUGGAAGACCUGCGUCAACAUAGGUACGAGUUUCCAGCAGUGGAAGGACCUGUGGGAGCUGAAAGGCCUGAAAACAGACGCCGAAGCCGUCAUUACUGCUCGACAGUGCCAGAUGCUGCUCCAUCUGUGCCCUAAGGGGGGCAGUGUAUCCACAGAGCGGACAGACCAUGUGGCCCCCCUCCCUCUCCUGACAGUACUUGAUGUGUUCUCUCAAAGAGGCUCCUCGCUGGAACAUCCUGUGGCAGAACGGACAAACCUGCUGGGUCCUCGCUGCAUCUGGAGUCCAGAGAGAGAGAAAAGUUGUCCCGGGAGCGGUGUGAGCGUGUGCGUUUGUCCCGAGCGCCUGCCUGAGAAUGAAUGGUGUUGAGGCAUCGCCUUCGGUCACAGCGGGAGACUCAGACCUUGAUGGGACUCCAAGCGGAGGCGACGAGCCGUGAGGAGGAGUGAUGUCAGCAGCAGAGGUUGGCCCCUGAGAACCAAUGGACUGCUCAAGGGCGAUGGAAAGCGAUGACCUUCUCCAGCCCAAACUCCAGUUUUCAUGAGGAGGAGGACUGACUUCAGAUGCUGAGUGAUUUUGUGGAUCUGGGGCGUGGUGGGAGGAGCUCGAGCUUUUCCCAACAUGCACCCCGCACAGGUCGCCAGUCCAUCACAGUGCGAACACACAGCGUUGUACUCGGUGUGAAAAGAAAAGUGAGCGUGGAUCCCUGUUGACCUUCUGUGUAUUCAGCUGAGUCUGGUCCCAUAAGCCCAGCAUAAAUGCCCAGCAUGGUACCUCGAUCCUCCCUGCCGUCCAAAGACCAAGAGACUCACUCUCACAGCCUCGUCCUUUCACUGUACCCUGCCCUCUCUCUGUCUCUUCCCCACAUUCACAGGAACAGUGUCUCUCCCCCACCAGUCACUCUUCCGUUGUCUCACGCUCUCCUCAAACUUCUGUUAGCAGGUGCAUUACUGUGUGAGCUCCUGUCCCACGGGCUCACCCUGCUCUGCCCCCCCACCCCGCCUUUGGCAUAAAGACAGUGAUGAGGACAAGAGGAGCAUCAGGAGAAAGAAGUACAGGAGGAGGAGGAGGAG